AACGCUGGCGGCGUGCUUAACACAUGCAAGUCGAGCGGAAAGGCCCUUCGGGGUACUCGAGCGGCGAACGGGUGAGUAACACGUGAGCAACCUGCCCUAGGCUUUGGGAUAACCCCGGGAAACCGGGGCUAAUACCGAAUAGGACCACCGACCGCAUGGUUGGUGGUGGAAAGUUUUUCGGCCUGGGAUGGGCUCGCGGCCUAUCAGCUUGUUGGUGGGGUGAUGGCCUACCAAGGCGACGACGGGUAGCCGGCCUGAGAGGGCGACCGGCCACACUGGGACUGAGACACGGCCCAGACUCCUACGGGAGGCAGCAGUGGGGAAUAUUGCACAAUGGGCGGAAGCCUGAUGCAGCGACGCCGCGUGAGGGAUGACGGCCUUCGGGUUGUAAACCUCUUUCAGCAGGGACGAAGCGUAAGUGACGGUACCUGCAGAAGAAGCGCCGGCCAACUACGUGCCAGCAGCCGCGGUAAGACGUAGGGCGCGAGCGUUGUCCGGAUUUAUUGGGCGUAAAGAGCUCGUAGGCGGCUUGUCGCGUCGACUGUGAAAACCCGCAGCUCAACUGCGGGCCUGCAGUCGAUACCGGGCAG
rnacentral:rRNA from 1 species